AAUAAGCCUUUGUCAUUAAUAAAGUUUAUUGUAUAUUUUUUAGAAAAAAUAAUUUUAAUGUAGCAAAUCUGACAGAGAAUAAGAAUAUUCAGAUUUCAAAGGGACACAAUGACACGAUGUUCUAAAAACUACAGAGAUAUUGAAGUAUGAAAUAUAAUUUCAAAUUGGCUAUGACCCUACUCAUACUUUCAUAUGAAAACAGUUUAUGGCUUUAUGCUAGUCGAAUUUGGUGAAUAUAAGCUUAGUUCAUCCGAAAUUCAAGGAACCACUAAAUUCGUUGAUUCUUCAUAGAUAUACCUAAAUGCUAUUUUUUCUUCUUUUUCCCAAAAUAUGCUAAUACAUUAAUAUUCUUGAAACAUAUGAUCACUCUAGGUUAAUGUAUACCAAAAACCAUUGUACUAACAUCUUUCACAAGAAAAAUAACAUUUGAUGAAAAUUCUAAAAGGAAAAAAAAAAUGAAAAUAGGACAUGCACUGAAGUCACUUUAUAGUUAUCAUCUAAACUCAUUCAAGAUUUCAAGGAAGUAUAUCUCUUUUCACCUCUAUUAGCAAAGGUUCAUGUUUUCCUCCUCAAUGAAACAUAUGAUCACUCUAGAUAGAGGUUAAUGUAUACCAAAAACCAUUGUACUAACAUCUUUCACAAGAAAAAUAAUAUUUGAUGAAAAUUCUAAAAGGAAAAAAAAAAUGAAAAUAGGGCAUGCACUGAAGUCACUUUAUAGUUAUCUAAACUCAUUCAAGAUUUCAAGGAAGUAUAUCUCUUUUCACCUCUAUUAGCAAAGGUUCAUGUUUUCCUCCUCAAUGAUAAACUAAUCAACCCAAGAAAAUUCUCAAUAACUUCAAAUUUUCAAUAUCCAUUAAGUUAUUUUGGUCAAAUAAAUCCAUUAGUUUUACAAGGCAUCAUUAAAGUAGAAAGAUCUUAAAAAUAAGCCUCAAAAUUAUUAAGGCUUUUUAUAAGCACACAUGAGCUCAACAGAGAAGGAAAAGUAUCAUGGUCUGAAAAAAAAAGGGAGAGAGAAUAUGGAGAGCAGCAUGUAGGAUAGAAACUUGACACAACAUAUGGUAAGAACUAAUAUGCUAUGGUAAGAGGGGAUUGGAAGCAAGAGCCUUCAAAGUUGUCAAGAUUUACUAAAACUACAGGAGAAAUAAUGUGAAAAAAAGUGACUUAAUGAGGGGCAAAAAGAAGCUCUCAAAAGAGACGACAGACAUCAACUACAUGGGCCUCUCUGGUCUUAAAUAACAGUUGAGGGAGAAACAAGGAAUAUGCAGGGAAAGGACAGAUGCAACAGCCAUGGCACAGAAGCAUCUACAACAACAUACCCAGUGUAGUCCCACAAGUGGUGUCUGGAGGGUAGGAUGUAGAGAGACCUCCCCCCUCCCUAUCUUCGGCACAGAAGUAUCUGAGAGUCAAAAAAAUAAAAAUUGCGAUUCUACCUCCACCUCUGAUUAAUAGUAGUAAAAUACAAUGGCUUUGCUCAAAGGAAUUUUAAACCAAAGAAAGAAAAAUAUGAGGAUAUUGUAUGAUGGACAGGGUAAACCUGCGAAAACAGAU
rnacentral:lncRNA from 1 species